rnacentral:rRNA from 1 species
CUAGUUCUAACCGUAAACGAUGACAACCAGCGAUUAAUCGGCGUUAAUUUAUGACCCGAUUAGCAGCUUCCGGGAAACCAAAGUUUUUCGUUUCCGGGGGAAGUAUGGUUGCAAAGCUGAAACUUAAAGGAAUUGACGGAAGGGCACCACCAGGAGUGGAGCCUGCGGCUUAAUUUGACUCAACACGGGAAAACUCACCCGGCCCGGACACCGUAAGGAUUGACAGACUGAGAGCUCUUUCUUAAUUCGGUGGGUGGUGGUGCAUGGCCGUUCUUAGUUGGUGGAGCGAUUU